CGCAAACCUGUGAUACUGCUCGACCUCCUCAUCAACCGCCCAGCGACGAUCGACCUCCAUACAGCCGACGAUCUCCGCCGUGCCGUGCCACGACGCCUACUAUAUGGCGCCGCAGACGCCGGUUCCUAGGUACGACCAUGUCAGGAUUAUUGUCGAAAAAGAUGGACGGAUCUAUAUCAGCAGCGACGACGACACUGAAUAGCCGGCGGGACCUACAGUUGAGAUUACAGGAAUAUUCAAUAUGGAAACUUUCAACACAGCGCUGCUACGCACACGACAUACCAACCUCUCUCUUGUGCCCACUCAUCCUUUGUUGCCGAUGGGUUGUAUCUUGCCGACGCCGACCGGAACUGCCCGCAGAAUUGUGGUCCUCUACAACCCCGACAAGCGUCCCAAUCCUCGUCUUUUUCGGUCGCCGCUGUUGCUGCCAAAACCAUGCUGCCAUCGUCUCGGUCACCCCUUCGACCACGCAUCUCAUCAAUGACUGUAUCGCCUAUUUACCUGUCCUCAUGCCGUACCUGCUGAUUUGAGGCCGAGGAGUGUUGUCGUGAUUGCUUGUAUAUAUCUUGGAUUCUUGAACAAGUGGCGAGAAAUCGACUUGUAACACAUGUACUUGCUGUUUCUGUACUCCCUAUUUGCGACAUAUGAACUGCUGGUGAAGCCAUAUGUACUCUGAAGCAUGUGUGUGUGUGCGCGCGCAUGCAUGUGUGUAAAUAAUAUGGCAUCAUGGA